GUAGGUGGCAAGCGUUGUCCGGAAUUAUUGGGCGUAAAGCGCGCGCAGGCGGUUCUUUAAGUCUGAUGUGAAAGCCCACGGGCUCAACCGUGGAGGGUCAUUGGAAACUGGAGAACUUGAGUACAGAAGGGGAAAGCGGAAUUCCACGUGUAGCGGUGAAAUGCGUAGAGAUGUGGAGGAACACCAGUGGCGAAGGCGGCUUUCUGGUCUGUAACUGACGCUGAGGCGCGAAAGCGUGGGGAGCAAACAGGAUUAGAUACCCUGGUAGUCCACGCCGUAAACGAUGAGUGCUAAGUGUUAGGGGGUUUCCGCCCCUUAGUGCUGCAGCUAACGCAUUAAGCACUCCGCCUGGGGAGUACGGCCGCAAAGGCUG
rnacentral:rRNA from 1 species